rnacentral:rRNA from 1 species
GACGAACGCUGGCGGCGUGCUUAACACAUGCAAGUCGAACGGAAAGGCCCUGCUUUUGUGGGGUGCUCGAGUGGCGAACGGGUGAGUAACACGUGAGUAACCUGCCCUUGACUUUGGGAUAACUUCAGGAAACUGGGGCUAAUACCGGAUAGGAGCUCCUGCUGCAUGGUGGGGGUUGGAAAGUUUCGGCGGUUGGGGAUGGACUCGCGGCUUAUCAGCUUGUUGGUGGGGUAGUGGCUUACCAAGGCUUUGACGGGUAGCCGGCCUGAGAGGGUGACCGGCCACAUUGGGACUGAGAUACGGCCCAGACUCCUACGGGAGGCAGCAGUGGGGAAUAUGGCACAAUGGGCGGAAGCCUGAUGCAGCAACGCCGCGUGCGGGAUGACGGCCUUCGGGUGGUAAACCGCUUUCGCCUGUGACGAAGCGUGAGGGACGGUAAGGGGGAAAGAAGCACCGGCUAACGAC